GCCUGGGUGGCUCAGUGGGUUGAGCAUCCGACUCCUGAUUUCGGCUCAUGUCAUGAUCUCACGGUUCGUGGGUUCAAGCCCCACAUUGGGCU
rnacentral:tRNA from 1 species